CCUACGGGAGGCAGCAGUGGGGAAUAUUGGGCAAUGGGCGCAAGCCUGACCCAGCAACGCCGCGUGAAGGAUGAAGGCUUUAGGGUUGUAAACUUCUUUUGUCAGGGACGAAGCAAGUGACGGUACCUGACGAAUAAGCCACGGAUAACUACGUGCCAGCAGCCGCGGUGAUACGUAGGUGGCGUGCUUUAUCCGGAUUUACUGGGUGUAAAGGGCUUGUAGGCGGGACUGAAAGUCAGAUGUUAAAACCACGGGGUCAACCUGUGGCCUGCAUUUGAAACUGUAGUUCUUGAGUACUGGAGAGGCAGACGGAAUGCGUAGGGUAGCGGUGAAAUGCGUAGAUAUUAGGAGGAACACCAGUGGCGAAGGCGGUCUGCUGGACAGCAACUGACGCUGAGGCGCGAAAGCGUGGGGAGCAAACAGGAUUAGAUACCCGGGUAGUC
rnacentral:rRNA from 1 species